UACGAGGGGGGCGAGCGUUGUUCGGAAUUAUUGGGCGUAAAGGGUGCGUAGGCGGUUCCGCAAGUCCUGUGUGAAAUCUUCGGGCUCAACUCGAAGUCUGCACGGGAAACUGCGGGGCUUGAGUGUGGGAGAGGUGAGUGGAAUUCCCGGUGUAGCGGUGGAAUGCGUAGAGAUCCGGAAGAACACCGGUGGCGAAGGCGGCCCGCUGGGCAACUGCUGACACUGAUGCGCGACAGCGUGGGGAGCAAACAGG
rnacentral:rRNA from 1 species